GGAAAUAUGGCAGAGAGAAUGUGAUCGGCUUGAAACCGAUGGACAGAGGUUUAGAUUACCUUUUGUUUCCG
rnacentral:tRNA from 1 species